rnacentral:ncRNA from 1 species
CAGUGUCGUCGCACCUACGGGAGGCAGCAGUGGGGAAUCUUGCGCAAUGCGCGAAAGCGUGACGCAGCAACGCCGCGUGGGGGAAGACGGCCUUCGGGUUGUAAACCCCUUUCAGGAGGGACGAAGGUUCACCGGUGAAUAGCCGUGUGGAUUGACGGUACCUCCAGAAGAAGCUCCGGCUAACUACGUGCCAGCAGCCGCGGUAAUACGUAGGGAGCAAGCGUUGUCCGGAAUCAUUGGGCGUAAAGCGCGCGUAGGCGGCCCUGUAAGUCCGUUGUGAAAGUCAAAGGCUCAACCUUUGAAAGCCGAUGGAUACUGCAGGGCUAGAGUCCGGAAGAGGCGAGUGGAAUUCCUGGUGUAGCGGUGAAAUGCGCAGAUAUCAGGAGGAACACCGGUGGCGAAGGCGGCUCUCUGGGCCGGUACUGACGCUGAGGAGCGAAAGCGUGGGGAGCGAACAGGAUUAGAUACCCUGGUAGUCCACGCCGUAAACGUUGGGCACUAGGUGUGGGUCUCUAUCGACGGGAUCCGUGCCGUAGCUAACGCAUUAAGUGCCCCGCCUGGGGAGUACGGCCGCAAGGCUAAAACUCAAAGGAAUUGACGGC